rnacentral:rRNA from 1 species
UACGGAGGGAGCUAGCGUUGUUCGGAAUUACUGGGCGUAAAGCGCACGUAGGCGGCGAUUCAAGUCAGAGGUGAAAGCCCCGGGGCUCAACCCCGGAACUGCCUUUGAAACUAGAUUGCUAGAAUCCUGGAGAGGCGAGUGGAAUUCCGAGUGUAGAGGUGAAAUUCGUAGAUAUUCGGAGGAACACCAGUGGCGAAGGCGACUCGCUGGACAGGUAUUGACGCUGAGGCGCGAAAGCUAGGGGAGCAAACGGG